GUACCCACACACAGUUCAGUUCCGAUCGCGGUCCAAGCCGGAUGAUUCGUGUUUUUUGCGUCGUGUACGUGCGUUCUAUGCGUCAGCCAUGGGUAUCGGCGAAUCAAAGCCAAAAUCUAACAUUUCGCAUUCGAAAGCGAACAACCGUAGCCGAACAACGAAUGGACAGCAUCAGCAGAAGAAACGUGAUGGGCCAGCGCGGCCAGCCGUACCGAACCCCCCGCAACACAACAAACCCAAUCGGAGUAAUCAUCUGGCUGCGCACACUGUAAACACCCAAAAAGCUGCACCUGUUGCCCAAAAAUCACACCGACCGACAGCACCAAACGUACUGCCGGAACGAAGCAGCAAAGGACGCCCCAACAAGAAGGCCGAGUGUAGUGUGUGCGGACACGAGGGACACACUGGUGAUCGCUGCUACCAUCGCCACCAAACUUGCCAAAUUUGCCUGCAACCCGGACAUUUGCGUUCUGUGUGCAAGCAAACGACGCAUCAUCCGGACAGUGUUUAUAGACCGAAGGGUGGUGGCAACAGGGCGCGCAACCCUCACUAACCUUAGGACUCCCGAACCCGGAAAGCCCAGUUCCUGUCGAAAAUCAGUGUACCCAAGUGCCUUAUUAUAUGCUGUGGAUAACCAAGGACCAUUGCCAGUAUGAAAGCCAGCAUCAAAUAGUAACUAUUUGGAUCGAUUAAGUUCGUGGAUAAGGGAUUCGCCCAGUAUAGAUAUUACGCUAGAGCUUCAUGUUUGAUCGAUCAUCUAUAGUUUUAGAUUUCAUUGCAUUUAAAAGCGAAUGUAACUCGUAAACGAUGUGAUCUUCGCACCGGAAUGAUAUUGAUCACGAUAUCGAUUGGUCGUUAUGAGUGAAUCUUUAUGUAAGUUUGUUUGUAACAAUUUGUGCCAAACGAAGAGGUAAAUGUUAAAUGAUUUGCAUACUUCAACUCGUCCUAUGAUUGUUGAGAAUGAAGGAUAUCCAGUGAGCUACCA